rnacentral:rRNA from 1 species
UACGUAGGUGGCAAGCGUUGUCCGGAUUUACUGGGUGUAAAGGGCGUGUAGGCGGGAAUGUAAGUCAGAUGUGAAAUCCUGUGGCUCAACCACAGACGGUCAUCUGAAACUACAUUUCUUGAGUGCUGGAGAGGAAAGCGGAAUUCCUAGUGUAGCGGUGAAAUGCGUAGAUAUUAGGAGGAACACCAGUGGCGAAGGCGGCUUUCUGGACAGUAACUGACGCUGAGACGCGAAAGCGUGGGGAGCAAACAGG